rnacentral:tRNA from 1 species
GGGGAUUUAGCUCAGUGGUAGAGCGCUUGCCUAGCAAGCACAAGGCCCUGGGUUUCAGUCCCCA